rnacentral:rRNA from 1 species
AUUGAACGCUGGCGGCAGGCCUAACACAUGCAAGUCGAGCGAGCGGCGGACGGGUGGGUAAUGUCUGGGAAACUGCCUGCUGGAGGGGGAUAACUACUGGAAACGGUAGCUAAUACCGCAUACCCUCAGAUGUGCCCAGAUGGGUUUAGCUAGUUGGUGGGGGAAUGGCUCACCUAGGCGACGAUCCCUCGCUGGUCUGAGAGGAUGACCAGCCACACUGGAACUGAGACACGGUCCAGACUCCUACGGGAGGCAGCAGUGGGGAAUAUUGCACAAUGGGCGCAAGCCUGAUGCAGCCAUGCCGCGUGUAUGAAGAAGGCCUUCGGGUUGUAAAGUACUUUCAGCGAGGAGGCGUUACGCGCAGAAGAAGCACCGGCUAACUCCGUGCCAGCAGCCGCGGUAAUAC